rnacentral:rRNA from 1 species
CCUACGGGAGGCAGCAGUGGGGAAUAUUGCACAAUGGGGGAAACCCUGAUGCAGCGACGCCGCGUGAGUGAAGAAGUAAUUCGUUAUGUAAAGCUCUAUCAGCAGGGAAGAAAAUGACGGUACCUGAGUAAGAAGCCCCGUCUAACUACGUGCCAGCAGCCGCGGGAAUACGGAGGGGGCAAGCGUUAUCCGGAUUUACUGGGCGUUAAGGGAGCGUAGACGGUAGGGCAAGUCCGGAGGGAAAAGCGGGGGCUCAACCCCCGGACUGCUCUGGAAACUGUACGGCUGGAGUGCAGGAGAGGUAAGUGGAAUUCCUGGUGUAGCGGUGAAAUGCGUAGAUAUUAGGAGGAACACCAGUGGCGAAGGCAGCUUACUGGACUGUAACUGACGUUGAGGCUCGAAAGCGUGGGGAGCAAACAGGAUUAGAUACCCUUGUAGUC